UACGGGGGAGGCAAGCGUUAUCCGGAAUUAUUGGGCGUAAAGCGUCCGCAGGUGGUCAGCCAAGUCUGCUGUCAAAUCAGGUUGCUUAACGACCUAAAGGCGGUGGAAACUGGCAGACUAGAGAGCAGUAGGGGUAGCAGGAAUUCCCAGUGUAGCGGUGAAAUGCGUAGAGAUUGGGAAGAACAUCGGUGGCGAAAGCGUGCUACUGGGCUGUAUCUGACACUCAGGGACGAAAGCUAGGGGAGCGAAAGGG
rnacentral:rRNA from 1 species